rnacentral:rRNA from 1 species
UACGUAGGGUGCAAGCGUUGUCCGGAAUUAUUGGGCGUAAAGAGCUCGUAGGCGGUCUGUCGCGUCGGCUGUGAAAACUCGGGGCUCAACUCCGAGCUUGCAGUCGAUACGGGCAGGCUAGAGUUCGGCAGGGGAGACUGGAACUCCUGGUGUAGCGGUGAAAUGCGCAGAUAUCAGGAGGAACACCGGUGGCGAAGGCGGGUCUCUGGGCCGAUACUGACGCUGAGGAGCGAAAGCGUGGGGAGCGAACAGG